rnacentral:piRNA from 1 species
UGCUUUUGAAUAAGAUUACCAACUUCCGGGC